rnacentral:rRNA from 1 species
AUUGAACGCUGGCGGCAUGCCUUACACAUGCAAGUCGAACGGCAGCGCGGGAGCAAUCCUGGCGGCGAGUGGCGAACGGGUGAGUAAUACAUCGGAACGUGCCCAAUCGUGGGGGAUAACGCAGCGAAAGCUGUGCUAAUACCGCAUACGAUCUACGGAUGAAAGCAGGGGAUCGCAAGACCUUGCGCGAAUGGAGCGGCCGAUGGCAGAUUAGGUAGUUGGUGAGGUAAAGGCUCACCAAGCCUUCGAUCUGUAGCUGGUCUGAGAGGACGACCAGCCACACUGGGACUGAGACACGGCCCAGACUCCUACGGGAGGCAGCAGUGGGGAAUUUUGGACAAUGGGCGAAAGCCUGAUCCAGCCAUGCCGCGUGCAGGAUGAAGGCCUUCGGGUUGUAAACUGCUUUUGUACGGAACGAAACGGUCUUUUCUAAGAAAGAAGGCUAAUGACGGUACCGUAAGAAUAAGCACCGGCUAACUACGU